GGACCAAUGGUGUAGCCUGGCAUCACCCUAGAUUCUGAUUCUAGUAACGUGAGUUCGAAUCUCGCUUGGUCCU